AAGGAAGAAAAGAGAGGCGACUCCUAGCAGCGGCCGAGCUUACAGAGAGAAGGGUGGAGGUGUGUGGUGGAAGGGGAAAGCCGGCCGGCUGGCAAAGCGCUGCGGAGAAAGACACGAGGCUCCUGAGCAGGGAAAGCCGAGGUUGCCACCGCAGGCCUGGCACGACCAGGGCCGUGAUGCCCCGCCCGGCCCGACCCCCGCGCGCAGAGGUACCUGGAGACGAUUUCAACUGAAGUAAUGAAGGCAGUGUCGUGCUGUCGAGAGAAAGGUGGAUCCCAACAACAGGAAACUACCUAAAUCACCGACCAGUUCUGGUGCUGCCCGCGAAGGGCUGCCUCGCCCGCCGCCGCCGCCGCCUCCGCCGCUGCCGCCGCCGCCAAGGAGAGAACCCUGCCAUCGCGCCUGGCCCGGCCCAGCCCAGCCCCUAGGCAACCUGCGCCCGCCAGUGCAACAGAGUGCCCCAGGCGGCCGCAAAUGCGUCAAGGAAGGGGAAGCCACAGGCCCCAGUAAGCCAAAGUCAAGCCCGUUUGCCAACCUGCAUGUCCAUGCCUGUAAGCCCUUCUCUUGGCCAAGGAAGAAAGGAAGAAAGAAAAAAGAAACCCAGGGGCCUGUAUCCCCUGAUUAAACACAGCACAGCACUCCAGGCAGACAUGCCCGGUGGCGGCUCCUUUGCACCAUUGACCUCAGGCCAGACACCUCAGCGCCAACAAUGGGACCUCGGCCUUCCGGCUAGGUUUGCCCCAGGCUGGGCAGGAAACCAGCUCGGCCGAAGACAGGGGCCAUUUCGAGCAGUGGGACCCCAAGACAGCAAACCCAGCCCAGUCAGGACUUGACACUUAGGACAAUAUCUAUCUCUAUAGAAUUUUAGCAUGAUAUGGCUUUUUCCCCCAGAAAACAACAAAUAAACCAGCACCAAGCAAACACAAAGAAACAAAAAGUCAGAACAAACCAGCCCUGCACAGAUGUAACGGCCCAGGAGAUGGCGAGUGUGGGAGGGAGGAACAGGGCUCCAGCACAGGUGCGAGUUCCUGGGCAGAGCCUGAAGACAGAGGGAGGGGACCAGCGCUCGGGAAGUGAAAAAACCGCGUCGCCUGGAGAUUCAUCAGGAAAAAUUAAAGU
rnacentral:lncRNA from 1 species